rnacentral:rRNA from 1 species
AUGAUUCUUGCUCAUAUUCUUUCAUAUUUGCCUCACUUUUAUACACGUCGUUCGUGUGUUGUGGAUGCGUCUACUGAUGUGCCAUCUUCCCCGUCUCGGCCUACUUAUGGCCUUAGUCUUUCAAACGUUGGCGCUGCUGUUCUUGAGCAAACUUCUUAUCUUUUUGUUGUUCAUACCAAAUGGCACCUUGCCAUGAUAGAGGAUAUUGCUACUGUUGGGUGCAUCGACACGUGGGAUAUUGUUUCUCUUCCUCCUCAUGUUCGUCCCAUUACUUGGUGGGUCUACAAGGUUAAGACUCGCUCUGAUGGUUCUCUUGAGCAUUACAAAGCUCGUCUUGUGGCUCGUGGCUUUCAGCGGUAG